GCUUUGAAGGGAGUUUUCACUGGAUUUACUAGAAAUGUGAAAUUGACCUGGCAAGCCUGUCUCUGCCUGAGCAUGAUCACAACAAAAGUAGCUGUGCAGCACGUUUUUUAAGGAAGAGGAGGAUGGUUGCAGACGUUCGCAUUCAUGCAAGAAGGCACUGCAGAGGCUAAGAAGAUGCAUGGAAACUCUAAAAGAAACAUAAUUCAACUUGUAGGCCAGAUUUGAAAAGGAAAUAAUAAAACCAGAAGCUCAGAUGUCAGACACCGAGGCUGCCAGUACCUCUGGAUCGAUUGUCUAUGUGUUGGAUGAUGCACAACCGUUGGUCAGAACAGACAGCGUAUACUUGACCAAAGCUAUGCUUGGAUACAAGAUGACUCAACGAUGACUCAAUAACUAGUAUUGACAACAGUGAAGAUGUUAUGUCCCAGGGCCAUCAGGAUCAUCAGAGGAAGGCAAUUUCUAUGAAGAAAAUCUGACCGGAGAGAUGUCGGUGAUUCGGGCCAAUGACCAAGGGAAAGCUGGGACAAAAGAGUGGUUCACACGAAAUGGAUGCUGCGGCCACUGAUUGCGCAUCAGAGAAUGACUGAGAAAGAGGAGUCGUCUGAAGAAUCCUAUGAAGAAAAUCUGACUGGAGAGAUGUCAGCGAUUCGGGCCAAACAACCAAUGACCAAGGGAAAGCUGGGACAAAAGAGAGGCUCACACGGUGACAAAGGAACAAAACGGUGUUGGUCAACAAUAGAGGUGGAUGCAGUUGAAGAUUCCUUGAUGAACUUUAUCCAAAUGGGGAAAAGUGCCUGGAAAACGCAUGCAUUUCUGCUUCUCCCCAAGCGCUAGUAAACAGGGACAGCAGAGCAGCACAGUUCAGUAAAUAGUUGAGGCUGUGUGUAAGUUUAGAUGGUGUUCAAUUUACAAAGUGUUCAACCUCCUUUCUUACAGACCUUUAGUGCCCCCCUGUGGAAUACCACUUGUCGUUACAUGGGGAUCAACAUUUGUUUUUGAGGGUUGAAAAAAAAAAUACAUGGAUAAUGUUAGAAUAAAAUCAUGCUGAGGAAGCUUUAUUCAAAAGACGAAGGAUGAGACAUGACGUGUCUUACAAUGUCAGGCUUCAGAUCAAAAGAAAAACGAUACAGUCACUGCCUCGCAGUCCAACCAACAGUAUUUUAAACGAAGCACAGUUUGAAGGCUUAGCAAAAGUCAUUCAUAUUUCACAAAUGUAAGGCAACACUACAUCUAUUCCAGAUGGAGUGCUUUUUAUUCGUAUAAAAGGAAUCAUUUAUAUAAGCGCUGUCUUACGCUGUCUUAUGUGGCACUAUCCAGGUCUUUCUUGCAAAAGUGGGUUCUUUUGGCAAGAGAGACCUGGUUACCGCAGAACCCAGCAGUUAUAUUUCAUCUGCAGCUGUCUGCUUCCCUUACAUGUGCAAGUUGAGACAGGGCCUCUUGACUCAAGCAAAGAGAACUUUGGCCAAAUAUUAUGACAAACAAGCCUACUGGUCAGAAAAUGUUGUUCAGCAUUCUCGCAUUUCAUAAACACUGUUUUGGUAGAUCCUCAUUUCCAAUGCUGUAGUACAAAUAGUUCCAGCUGAGAAUUUGUCAGUGUUGCUAUAUAUUGAAAACGUGAGGAAUUUUGGCACUAUGGUGUGAGUCAGAUGUGCCUCCUUUGGAUUAAUACAAAUUUGAACCGGAAAUUCACUUAUAUUAGUCCGGUCAACACUUACCUCUUCUCUUUGGUCAACAAAUCAACCAAUCCAAUGAAGAAAUAAACAUUCUACUGAAAGGGUAUACUUCAUAGCUCACAAGAAACCAACAACACACACCACACAUCAUUUUCAACAGCAAUAAAACUUUAUAGAAACAGAAUUCUUUGGAACAUGGUGAUGAUAAAUUAACAUUUGCCUAACUAGAAUAACAAGUAGAUUAAUAUUAAUCUCUAGUUGAUACUGAGGGACAUAUUCUAUCAUCACACCAGCGUACUAGAUACUCCUAAGGCGUUGAAGCAGUCCAUCUUCAGGAAGAGAACACUUUGAGAAGAUCCACACCCCAGGGAUGAAAGUACUUUGACAGCUUGUGGCUCCUGUUGGGUCUCAUAGGAAAAGUCUGUUCCAACAGUACUUCCGACAGUAGCUGCUGCUGCUCAUGCAGAACAUCCUGGAUCGGUGGGCGCUGGAUCAUUUCUGUCACCUGCCCUUUGUGGUUUGGGUUGAAAGGGCAGUGGAGGUACUAGGAGGGCUGGCAGGGCUCAAUAAGGCUCCCGAUUGGCGCAGCGGUAUAAGGCACUGGUCCCAUAGGGCGGCUCACAAUUGGCCCAGUGUCGUCCGGGUUAGGGUUUGGCCGGGGUAGGUCGUCAUGGUAAAUAAGAAUUUGUUCUUA